rnacentral:rRNA from 1 species
CCUACGGGUGGCAGCAGUGAGGAAUAUUGGUCAAUGGGCGCGAGACUGAACCAGCCAAGUAGCGUGAGGGAGGACGGCACAGAGUAUUGUAAACUUCUUUUGUCAAGGAAUAAAGUAAGGCACGUGUGCCUUGUUGUGUGUACUUUAUGAAUAAGGAUCGGCUAACUCCGUGCCAGCAGCCGCGGUAAUACGGAGGAUCCGAGCGUUAUCCGGAUUUGUUGGGUUUAAAGGGAGCGUAGGUGGGUUGUUAAGUCAGUGGUGAAAGGUGGGGGCUCAACCGUAAAACGGCAAUUGAUACUGGCAGUCUCGAGUACAGUUGAGGUAGGCGGAAUUCGCGGUGUAGCGGUGAAAUGCUUAGAUAUCACGAAGAACUCCGAUUGCGAAGGCAGCUUACUAAAUCGACACUGACACUGAUGCUCGAAAGCGUGGGUAUCAAACAGGAUUAGAUACCCGUGUAGUC